rnacentral:rRNA from 1 species
GACGAACGCUGGCGGCGUGCCUAAUACAUGCAAGUUGAGCGCUGAAGGUUGGUACUUGUACCAACUGGUUGAGCAGCGAACGGGUGAGUAACGCGUGGGGAAUCUGCCUUUGAGCGGGGGACAACAUUUGGAAACGAAUGCUAAUACCGCAUAAAAACUUUAAACACAAGUUUUAAGUUUGAAAGAUGCAAUUGCAUCACUCAAAGAUGAUCCCGCGUUGUAUUAGCUAGUUGGUGCGGUAAAGGCUCACCAAGGCGAUGAUACAUAGCCGACCUGGGAGGGGGGUCGGCCACAUUGGGACUGAGACACGGCCCAAACGCCUACGGGAGGCAGCAGUAGGGAAUCUUCGGCAGUGGACGAAAGUCUGACCGAGCAACGCCGCGUGAGUGAAGAAGGUUUUCGGAUCGUAAAACUCUGUUGGUAGAGAAGAACGUUGGUGAGAGUGGAAAGCUCAUCAAGUGACGGUAACUACCCAGAAAGGGACGGCUAACUACGUG